rnacentral:rRNA from 1 species
UGGGGAAUAUUGCACAAUGGGCGAAAGCCUGAUGCAGCGACGCCGCGUGAGGGAUGACGGCCUUCGGGUUGUAAACCUCUUUCAGCAGGGACGAAGCGCAAGUGACGGUACCUGCAGAAGAAGCACCGGCUAACUACGUGCCAGCAGCCGCGGUAAUACGUAGGGUGCAAGCGUUGUCCGGAAUUACUGGGCGUAAAGAGUUCGUAGGCGGUUUGUCGCGUCGUUUGUGAAAACCAGCAGCUCAACUGCUGGCUUGCAGGCGAUACGGGCAGACUUGAGUACUGCAGGGGAGACUGGAAUUCCUGGUGUAGCGGCGAAAUGCGCAGAUAUCAGGAGGAACACCGGUGGCGAAGGCGGGUCUCUGGGCAGUAACUGACGCUGAGGAACGAAAGCGUGGGUAGCGAACAGG